CCUACUGGAGGCAGCAGUGGGGAAUAUUGCACAAUGGGGGAAACCCUGAUGCCUCUCCUCCUCUUUCUUUCCUCCUUCCUUCUUUCUUUCCCUCUCUCUCAUCAGUGAAGAAAAUGACGGUACCUGAGUAAGAAGCCCCGGCUAACUACGUGCCAGCAGCCGCGGUAAUACGUAGGGGGCAAGCGUUAUCCGGAUUUACUGGGUGUAAAGGGAGCGUAGACGGCAGUGCAAGUCUGGAGUGAAAGGCGGGGGCUCAACCCCCGGACUGCUCUGGAAACUGUACGGCUGGAGUGCAGGAGAGGUAAGUGGAAUUCCUAGUGUAGCGGUGAAAUGCGUAGAUAUUAGGAGGAACACCAGUGGCGAAGGCGGCUUACUGGACUGUAACUGACGUUGAGGCUCGAAAGCGUGGGGAGCAAACAGGAUUAGAUACCCUUGUAGUC
rnacentral:rRNA from 1 species